UUUGAAAUUGAUUUAUUUCAUUGACUUUCUGUUAAAAGCUAGAAAUCCAUGACUCGUAAUACAAACACAAACAAUUCAUAUUACCUCCUUGUAAAUGUUGAGUUGUCGAUAAAAGAGGAGGUUUAUUUGGCUACAAAGGAUUCCAAGUGGCUAGUCCUUAAUUUCAAAUGGUGAAAAGAAUGCAAAUAUAGAUGAAAACUUGUGUACUUCUUCUCUCUCUCCUUGGCUUCAACUAAUAUCUAUGUUGGCACGAGUUUCUCAGUUCCAAACACAAUCACAACUGCAAAAACAAGAGUUUUGUAAAUUAGACAUAUUCGGAAUCCAAACUUUCCAAAGUAGAAUUGAAUCAAAAUCCACUUGCCCAGAGUAGGCAUUAGAAUAGAGAGAGCAGCAAUUCCUGAAAUCUUGAGGGGCAAUCCUGUUCGAACCAUGUCUUUAAUCUCAAUAUGAAGGGGGUCCCGUGGG
rnacentral:lncRNA from 1 species